rnacentral:tRNA from 2 species
UGCUCUUUAGUUUAAUUGGAAGAACAAUGGCCUUCUAAGCCGAUAAUGUAGGUUCAAGUCCUACAGGAGCCA